AGUAACGCGUGGGUAACCUGCCUCAUACAGGGGGAUAACAGUUAGAAAUGACUGCUAAUACCGCAUAAGCGCACAGUGCUGCAUGGCACAGUGUGAAAAACUCCGGUGGUAUGAGAUGGACCCGCGUCUGAUUAGCUAGUUGGUGGGGUAACGGCCUACCAAGGCGACGAUCAGUAGCCGGCCUGAGAGGGUGAACGGCCACAUUGGGACUGAGACACGGCCAAACUCCUACGGGAGGCAGCAUG
rnacentral:rRNA from 1 species